GAUGAACGCUAGCUACAGGCUUAACACAUGCAAGUCGAGGGGUAACGAGAGGAAAGCUUGCUUUCCUUGUCGACGACCGGCGCACGGGUGAGUAACGCGUAUCCAACCUGCCCCCAACUAGGGAAUAACCUUGCGAAAGUAAGACUAAUACCCUAUAAUUUCCUCAGAUGACAUCUGACGAGGAAUAAAGAUUUAUCGGUUGUGGAUGGGGAUGCGUCUGAUUAGCUUGUUGGCGGGGUAACGGCCCACCAAGGCAACGAUCAGUAGGGGGUCUGAGGAAGGUCCCACACAGUGUAACUGAGACACGGUCCAAACUCCUACGGGAGGCAGCAGUGAGAAAUAUUGGUCAAUGGGCGGAAGCCUGAACCAGCCAAGUAGCGUGCAGGAUGACGGCCCUAUGGGUUGUAAACUGCUUUUAUACAGGAAUAAAGUUAGCCACGUGUGGUUAUUUGUAGGUACUGUAUGAAUAAGGACCGGCUAAUUCCGUGCCAGCAGCCGCGGUAA
rnacentral:rRNA from 1 species